GGCCUGGUGGUGUAAUGGUAACACAUCUGCUUCAAUUGACACAAACUGUUUGCGGUACGCGGGAGUCCCUUGUUCAAUUCAGGGCUAGGCCA